rnacentral:rRNA from 1 species
UCGAGAAUCAUUCGCAAUGGGCGCAAGCCUGACGGUGCGACGUCGCGUGGAGGAUGAAGGUCUUCGGAUUGUAAACUCCUGUCAUGUGGGAUAAAUGGCCAGGGCAUGAAUAGUGCCUUGGAAUGAUAGUACCACAGGAGGAAGGGACGGCUAACUCUGUGCCAGCAGCCGCGGUAAUUCAGAGGUCCCGAGCGUUGUUCGGAUUUACUGGGCGUAAAGGGAGCGUAGGCGGUUUGGU